AACGAACGCUGGCGGCAGGCCUAACACAUGCAAGUCGAACGCACCGCAAGGUGAGUGGCGCACGGGUGAGUAACACGUGGGAAUGUACCCUUUGGUUCGGAAUAACGUUUGGAAACGAACGCUAAUACCGGAUGAGCCCUGUGGGGAAAGAUUUAUCGCCAAAGGAGCAGCCCGCGUCUGAUUAGCUAGUUGGUGGGGUAAAGGCCUACCAAGGCGACGAUCAGUAGCUGGUCUGAGAGGAUGAUCAGCCACACUGGGACUGAGACACGGCCCAGACUCCUACGGGAGGCAGCAGUGGGGAAUAUUGGACAAUGGGCGGAAGCCUGAUCCAGCCAUGCCGCGUGAGUGAUGAAGGCCUUCGGGUUGUAAAGCUCUUUCGCACGCGACGAUGAUGACGGUAGCGUGAGAAGAAGCCCCGGCUAACUUCGUGCCAGCAGCCGCGGU
rnacentral:rRNA from 1 species